rnacentral:rRNA from 1 species
CGGGGACAACACUGGAAACGGUGGCUAAUACCGGAUGUGCCGAAAGGUGAAAGGUUAACUGCCUGAAGAUGAGCUCGCGUCUGAUUAGCUAGUUGGAAGUGUAAUGGACUCCCAAGGCGACGAUCAGUAGCUGGUCUGAGAGGACGAUCAGCCACACUGGGACUGAGACACGGCCCAGACUCCUACGGGAGGCAGCAGUGGGGAAUUUUCCGCAAUGGGCGAAAGCCUGACGGAGCAAUACCGCGUGAGGGAGGAAGGCUCUUGGGUCGUAAACCUCUUUUCUCAGGGAAGAAAAAAAUGACGGUACCUGAGGAAUAAGCAUCGGCUAACUCCGUGCCAGCAGCCGCGGUAAUACGGAGGAUGCAAGCGUUAUCCGGAAUGAUUGGGCGUAAAGCGUCCGCAGGUGGCAAUGUAAGUCUGCUGUUAAAGAGUCUAGCUCAACUAGAUAAGAGCAGUGGAAACUACAUAGCUAGAGUACGUUCGGGGCAGAGGGAAUUCCUGGUGUAGCGGUGAAAUGCGUAGAGAUCAGGAAGAACACCAGUGGCGAAGGCGCUCUGCUAGGCCGUAACUGACACUGAGGGACGAAAGCUAGGGGAGCGAAUGGGAUUAGA